GUUUGCCUCGGCAGCACAUAUACUAAAAUUGGAACGAUACAGAGAAGAUUAGCAUUGCCCCUGUGCAAGGAUGUUUAGCUGAUGUUGAGAGAGUGAGGGAACUUUU
ensembl:snRNA U6 U6 spliceosomal RNA